rnacentral:pre_miRNA from 1 species
AUAGAUAGCAUAGAUGUUGUUCUGAUUGACUGAUAGAGCAGGUAGGCUUCAAAGUAAUGUUAAUGUUAUGGAG